rnacentral:tRNA from 1 species
GGGCAUUUAGUUCAGGAGUAGAACGCCUCAUUGACAUUGAGGAGGUCGGGGGUGCGAAGCCUCCAGUGCCCA